rnacentral:rRNA from 1 species
CCUACGGGGAGCAGCAGUGGGGGAUAUUGCACAAUGGGGGGAACCCUGAUGCAGCGACGCCGCGUGGGUGAAGAAGCGCCUCGGCGCGUAAAGCCCUGUCAGCAGGUAAGAAAAUGACGGUACCUGUAGAAGAAGCCCCGGCUAACUACGUGCCAGCAGCCGCGGUAAUCAGUACGGGGCAAGCGUUAUCCGGCUUUACUGGGUGUAAAGGGGGCGCAGACGGCGAUGCAAGCCAGGAGUGAAAGCCCGGGGCCCAACCCCGGGACUGCUCUUGGAACUCCGUGGCUGGAGGGCAGGAGGGGCAGGCGGAAUUCCUGGGGUAGCGGUGAAAUGCGUAGAUAUCAGGAGGAACACCGGUGGCGAAGGCGGCGUGCUGGAGUGCAACUGACGUUGAGGCCCGAAAGCGUGGGGAGCAAACAGGAUUAGAUACCCGGGUAGUC